rnacentral:pre_miRNA from 1 species
GUUUUACUCCCUCCGUUCGGAAUUACUUGUCUCGAAAAUGGAUGUAUCUAGAACUAAAUUACGUCUAGAUACAUUCAUUUUUGCGACAAGUAAUUCCGAACAGAGGGAGUAGAUG